UACGAAGGGGGCUAGCGUUGCUCGGAAUCACUGGGCGUAAAGGGUGCGUAGGCGGGUCUUUAAGUCAGGGGUGAAAUCCUGGAGCUCAACUCCAGAACUGCCUUUGAUACUGAAGAUCUUGAGUUCGGGAGAGGUGAGUGGAACUGCGAGUGUAGAGGUGAAAUUCGUAGAUAUUCGCAAGAACACCAGUGGCGAAGGCGGCUCACUGGCCCGGUACUGACGCUGAGGUGCGAAAGCGUGGGGAGCAGACGAGG
rnacentral:rRNA from 1 species